AUUGAACGCUAGCGGGAUGCUUUACCCAUGCAAGUCGAACGAGUGGCGGACGGGUGAGUAAUAUCUCGGAACGUGCCCAGUAGCGGGGGAUAACUACUCGAAAGAGUGGAUAAUCCCGCCUACUAUUGGAGCGGCCGAUAUCGGAGUAGCUAGUGGGUGGGGUAAAGGCUCACCAAGGCAACUAUCCGUAGCUGGUCUGAGAGGACGACCAGCCACACUGGGGUGGAGACACGGCCCAGGCUCCUACGUGAGGCAGCAGUGGGUAAUUUGGGACAAUGGGGGAAACCCUGAUCGAGCCAUCCCGCGUGUAUGAGAAGGCCUUCGGGUUGUAAAGUACUUUUGGCAGAGAAGCGUUAUCUGCAGAAUAAGCACCGGCUAACUACGUGCCAGCAGCCGCGGUAAUUC
rnacentral:rRNA from 1 species